CAGUCGCCCGGUAAUACGUAGGUGGCAAGCGUUGUCCGGAAUUAUUGGGCGUAAAGGGCUCGCAGGCGGUUUCUUAAGUCUGAUGUGAAAGCCCCCGGCUCAACCGGGGAGGGUCAUUGGAAACUGGGAAACUUGAGUGCAGAAGAGGAGAGUGGAAUUCCACGUGUAGCGGUGAAAUGCGUAGAGAUGUGGAGGAACACCAGUGGCGAAGGCGACUCUCUGGUCUGUAACUGACGCUGAGGAGCGAAAGCGUGGGGAGCGAACAGGAUUAGAUACCCGCGUAGUCCCUGUCUCUUAUACC
rnacentral:rRNA from 1 species